GUGAACGCUGGCGGUCGGCCUAACACAUGCCAGUCGAACGGCAGCACCGUAAGAGCUUGCUCUUACGGGUGGCGAGUGGCGGACGGGUGAGGAAUACAUCGGAAUCUACUUUUUCGUGGGGGAUAACGUAGGGAAACUUACGCUAAUACCGCAUACGACCUACGGGUGAAAGCAGGGGAUCUUCGGACCUUGCGCGAUUGAAUGAGCCGAUGUCGGAUUAGCUAGUUGGCGGGGUAAAGGCCCACCAAGGCGACGAUCCGUAGCCGGUCUGAGAGGAUGAUCAGCCACACUGGAACUGAGACACGGUCCAGACUCCUACGGGAGGCAGCAGUGGGGAAUAUUGGACAAUGGGCGCAAGCCUGAUCCAGCCAUACCGCGUGGGUGAAGAAGGCCUUCGGGUUGUAAAGCCCUUUUGUUGGGAAAGAAAAGCAGCAGGUUAAUACCCCGCUGUUCUGACGGUACCCAAAGAAUAAGCACCGGCUAACUUCGUG
rnacentral:rRNA from 1 species